ACUUUCUUAGUAUAACAAGUACAACUGACUUCCAAUCAGUUAGGUCUAGAAAAGUCUGGAAGAAAGUA
rnacentral:tRNA from 1 species